rnacentral:rRNA from 1 species
UCAAGCGCAAAAGGGCAUUUAGUGGAUGCCUUGGCAUCAAGAGACGAUGAAGGACGUGGCAGGCUGCGAAAAGUUAAGGGGAGUUGUCAACACACUUUGAUCCUUAAAUAUCCGAAUGGGGAAACCCAACUCUUUGAGUUACUUAUUGAUGAAUAAAUAGUCAAUAAGAGUUAACCUAGUGAAUUGAAAUAUCUUAGUAGCUAGAGGAAAAGAAAUAUAUUCUGUUAGUAGUGACGAGCGAAAGCGGACCAGGCCAAUAAUAAAAUUAUAAUAACUAGAAUUAACUGGAAAGUUAAACCAUAGUAGGUGAUAGUCCCGUAUAGGUAAAAAGUAAUUUUAUUUUCGAGUAGGGCGGAACACGUGAAAUUUUGUCUGAAUAUGGGGAGACCACUUCCCAAGCCUAAAUACUCCUUGAUGACCGAUAGUGAACUAGUACCGUGAGGGAAAGGUGAAAAGCACCCCGAUAGGGGGAAUGAAAUAGUAUCUGAAACCGAAUGCCUACAAGCAGUCAGAGCUUCCUUGAGAAGUGAUGGCAUACCUUUUGUAUAAUGGGUCAGCGACUUAGUCUGUGCAGCAAGCUUAAGCCAUUAGGUGUAGGCGUAGGGAAACCAAGUCUUAAUAGGGCGUUAGUUGUACGGAUUAGACUCGAAGCGGGAUGAGCUUAAUAUGAGCAGGUUGAAGAUGCAGUAACAUGCAUCGGAGGACCGAACCAGGAAACGUUGAAAUGUUUUUGGAUGACUUGUGUUAAGGGGUGAAAGGCCAACCAAAUUCCGCUAUAGCUAGUUCUCCGCGAAAACUAUUUAGGUAGUGCGUUGUGUGAAUGAUAUCGGGGGUAAAGCACUGGAUGGGCUAGGGGGAAGCGAUUCCUACCAAACCUAACCAAACUCUGAAUACCGGAACUCUAUACACAGCAGACAGACUAUAGGUGCUAAGGUCUAUAGUCGAGAGGGAAACAGCCCAGAUCACCAGUUAAGGCCCCCAAAUAAUGGCUAAGUGGGAAAGUAUGUAGAAAGACCAAGACAGGCAGGAGGUUGGCUUAGAAGCAGCCAUCCUUUAAAGAUAGCGUAACAGCUCACUGUUCUAAUUAAGUUUUUCCGCGACGAAGAUGUAACGGGGCUAAAGCCAUUUGCCGAAACUGUGACUUUAUAAUUAUUGCGAUAAUUAUAAGGGGUAGCGGAGCGUUCUGUAAGCCGUUGAAGAUGUUUUGAAAAAAAUGUUGGAGGUAUCAGAAGUGCGAAUGCUGACAUGAGUAGCGAUAAAGAGUGUGAGAGACACUCUCGCCGAAAUCCUAAGGUUUCCUGCGUAAAGUUAAUCUGCGCAGGGUUAGUCGACCCCUAAGGCGAGGCAGAAAUGCGUAGUCGAUGGGAAACAGGUUAAUAUUCCUGUACCUUCUGAGAGUUGACGGAUUACGUAAAUUGUAUUUUCUUAUUGGAUUGAAAAUGCAGUGAAGUAGUCCCUGGAAAUAGCCUCAGAAUAUAGAUCGUACCUAAACCGACACAGGUAGGAAGGUAGAGUAUACCAAGGCGCUUGAGAGAAUGAUGUUGAAGGAACUCGGCAAAAUGCUCUUGUAACUUCGGAAUAAGAGAGACCAAUUUUUAGGCAACUAAUAAUUGGUGGCACAGAAUAGGGAGAAGCGACUGUUUAUCAAAAACACAGGUCUCUGCUAAGUCGUAAGACGAUGUAUAGGGACUGACGCCUGCCCGGUGCCGGAAGGUUAAAUGGUGGAGUGCAAGCUCUAAAAUGAAGCCCCGGUGAACGGCGGCCGUAACUAUAACGGUCCUAAGGUAGCGAAAUUCCUUGUCGGGUAAGUUCCGACCUGCAUGAAUGGCGUAACGAUAUCUCCGCUGUCUCCAACAUCAACUCAGCGAAAUUGAAUUCUCCGUGAAGAUGCGGAGUACGUGUAGUUAGACGGAAAGACCCCGUGCACCUUUACUAUAGCUUUACAGUGGUAUUAGAAAAAUAAUGUGUAGGCUAGGUGGUAGACUUUGAAGCAGAAGCGCUAGCUUUUGUGGAGUCAAAAGAUGAAACACCACCCUUUAUUUUUUUGAUAUCUAACCAUCAUCCAUUAUCUGGAUGUGGGACCCUGUAUGGUGGGUAGUUUGACUGGGGCGGUCGCCUCC